GAAAUUUUUCUAGUUGCAUGAAUUGAAAAGGUGUUACAGGGAAACAUUACACACUGUGCAGAACCCUACAUCAAAAAUUCAGACCCUGUGAAGACAGCCCAGAAGGUACACAGGACAGCUAAGCAAGUAUGUAGCCGGCUUGGACAAUACAGAAUGCCCUUUGCUUGGGCUGCCAGACCCAUUUUCAAAGACACUCAAGGCUCUCUGGAUCUGAA